CAAUCAUUAAUCAUUAUUAAUGCGGUAUCAAGAUGUUACGCCAAUUCCUGCACCCAGUCACAUAAAGAGCAAAAAAAAUGGACAGGGACGGAGUCCGCGGAUAUGUGACUUGGGGGGCCUUGGCAACUUAGUCAUUGGUGAUUGUCGAAUCAAUGUAGGUUACAAUCACCGACCGUGGUUAAAAUCCUUGACAGUCGAAGGAGAAAAACAAAUAUCCUAGCGAUUGAUGCGGUGUAAAAUAAGUUGCCUACCUAUAGGUACAAAGACUUCAACACAUGGUGUAUAAUUAGGCUAUACACCGUGUCCAACAUGUAACGUAAAUUUAAUUAUCUAAUUUAUUUAAUUGUUUAUUUGUAUAAAAUUAACUAUUAAUGUCCACCGUAACUAAUGAGUAAUCAGUAAUGAUAGGUUUAUACCAUCAUAAUUACCUCACUAUUAUUGUAUAAUUAAGAAAUAGCCAAUAGAAACGAAGGUAUGGUUUCGUUGGUUAGUUAUGCACAAUAAUCCUUUGUUUUUAUUUGCAAUUUCUUAAUGACCUAAUGAUAAUGAUUUAUAACAAUUCAAGAUACAAUAUACAAAAAUGAUGAAAAAAAAAAAACUAAAGCUACACUUUAACUCAGGGCUGUAUGCUUAGUGCAUAGAGAAUCCCUUUCCCUAUUAAAUUUCUUUUUGAUGUUAAAAAA